rnacentral:tRNA from 1 species
GGCCUGGUAGCUCAGACGGUAGAGCAUCGUUCUGGAAAUGCGAAGGUCGCGGGUUCGAUUCCCACCGCGGUCA